CAAGAGGGGAGUGGCCCAUUAAACUUCCCACGAAAUCCCAUGGGAAGAAAGCUUUGGGCUUUUGCUUUGCUAUUAUCCUCUCCUCUCACCCACUCUUACAGUGCUUCCUUUCUCUCAAAAACGAUCCUCUCCGGCUGGAGGACGAUCGAAUACUAUUAAUCAUCGGUCUCAUUUCUACAUUCAAGGUUUCAUCUCACGAUGAACAGGUGAAGUGGCGUUGGCUUGCUUGGAUCAGUGGAGUUGUGCUUCUAGGUAGUUAGAGUUAUGACUGUCGAUUUCGAGAAGGAUUUUGCGUUCUUUUGGACCCUGCUCUCGGCUUGGUCGCCGUGGUGAUUCUUCUAGUCUCACUAGUCAAUCAUGUCGAGCUUCUCAUGAUUUGUAUGGACAUUUUUCCGGGGAUUGUUUAUUUUCUGCAGAAUCUUCUAGCUUUAUCAAGGGUGGGGGGUCUUCCCUUGCUUAUGGAAGGGUUUCGGCGUUCAACCUGAAUCUACUGAUGGAUAGUUUCCUUCUGAUUUAUUAUCUGCAAAGAAUGUGGUAACGCCACAAUGUGACAUAGGACUUUAUCAGGACCUUGUAAUUCCAGCGACAAAGUUUCAUAACUAGGACAAGGGCUUAAUGGUUUUGGCUGGUGAUGUUUUUUGAUUUCCCUAUUGGGGAUGAUAUUAUUCUUCGUGUUGUGUGAUGGCAGCUUGCAAAACAACAAUAGGGAGCACAUUCAACUAAAACAACCGGUGAGGUUAGUGGGACUGGAAGAAAGCUAUAUAGACAAAAGGGCACUGGCCGAGCAAGGUAUGGAACAUUGCGGUGGCCCCAGUUUAGAGGUGGUGCUGUCAGGCAUGGUCUUUAACCACAAAAUCAUGCUAUUGAAUUAAACAAGAAGGUGAGGCGUUUGGGGUUGAAGAUUGCUUUGUCAGCUCGUGCAGCAGAAGGAAAGGCAUGUCUCUCUGUCUCUGCGUCUUUGAUUUUUGCACACUCCAAUCAAACGAUGAAGCGCAUGCGACAAGCCAUUCGAUGAUUAAUAUUUCUGCGAUAUGCAUUUCAAGAUGAAAUUUGGCAUUGAUGCUGUGAAAUUUGUUGAGGUUGAAUUGAUACUCAAUGCCACAUGGAAUCCCACUCAGGAUUAUGCGUGUUGCUAAAGCUAUAAGCUUGGCAACAUAAUGACCGUUGUCAGGUCAAGAACACAAGGCUUAAGAGUUGAAAAGGAACGGUUGGCAGGUCAGCAUCACAUCGUAAAUUGUGGGCAUUUGAUUUCGACAUAUCAUACAUGUUGAGAAUACGUAAAGAUCAAUGGCCUAAGUUCGCUCUUCUCAUGCCAGGACAAGAUGCCCUUGCAACUUUUGAAAAUUCUAUCAAGUCAAGAUGGGUCUGACUAUGCCGUAACAAAAUGGUUAAUUAGAGACUAGGUCUGAUUGAGUCUUUUGAAUGGUUUUGAUUUAAAAAUGUCAAAAUUAUUAA